UACGGGGGAGCAAGCGUUGUUCGGAUUUACUGGGCGUAAAGGGCGCGUAGGCGGUCAGCACAAGUCAGUUGUGAAAUCUCCGGGCUUAACUCGGAAAGGUCAACUGAUACUGUGCGACUAGAGUGCAGAAGGGGCAACUGGAAUUCUCGGUGUAGCGGUGAAAUGCGUAGAUAUCGAGAGGAACACCUGCGGCGAAGGCGGGUUGCUGGGCUGACACUGACGCUGAUGCGCGAAAGCCAGGGGAGCGAACGGG
rnacentral:rRNA from 1 species